GUGGCGUGGGCCUGGAACCACGGUCUGGAAUGUGCAUUGUCAGCGUCCAUCCUUGGAUGCUGGGCACCACCACCGCUGUCUGAGGAUCUUGCUGGAAUGGAUGAACUCCAGUUUGGCUUCCUGGGUAUCCCUGUCCUUGACUGCCUCUGUGGCUUGGGGUUCCUCCUUCUGUCUUUGUGCUACCUGAAGACAAAUGCUUGCCUCCCAAUACUGUGCAGCCAGAGAGGACUCCAUCAGGUAGGAUAAUUUGCCAGAGAGAAGUAGAAGAGGGGAGGAAGUUGCUUUCUGUUCUCAAAAGCCCCCUGGGCCAGCAUUAUGACACCACACACUUUCGACAACUGCUGUGUCCAGACCCGCUCUGUGAGGUGUGUAACACAGCAGCCGCUAAGGUCAGGCGGCUGCUGUCUCUGGCAGCCCUGGAUGGUGCUGCCAUCUCUUUGGCUUCCACAGGUUCGGCAACAGAUACGUCCAGGCGCCCUCACACCUGCUGAAGGCGCUGGGGUCAGGGACCUGACUCUGCUCUGUGAACAGAGAAGCUUCUUCAGCAUUUAGCAAAGGAAACAAUGCCUGCAAAAGAAAAUCCAGUCCAAGACCAUCAGCACAGCCAGUA